UACGUAGGGUGCAAGCGUUAUUCGGAAUUACUGGGCGUAAAGCGUGCGAAGGCGGCUUUGCAAGACAGAUGUGAAAUCCCCGGGCUUAACCUGGGAACUGCAUUUGUGACUGCAGGGCUGGAGUGCGGCAGAGGGGGAUGGAAUUCCGCGUGUAGCAGUGAAAUGCGUAGAUAUGCGGAGGAACACCGAUGGCGAAGGCAAUCCCCUGGGCCUGCACUGACGCUCAUGCACGAAAGCGUGGGGAGCAAACAGG
rnacentral:rRNA from 1 species